AAUUAUAGAAUGUGUAUCUGCCAUGUUCAAUGUCAUUUCAGAAGUUUGUAAGGGCUAUUCCUUGAAGCUUACACCUGCCCCCCUCAAUGUGACUAACAAGUCUUUUCAGUUAGUAACAUACUUGCUGAGGGUUUGACAACAAAGACUUAAUGAAGAUUGUGAUAAAUUCACACAGACACCCAAGUAAAUGUAAGCGUCCACAGAAAUGAGGAAGACUCAAUGCUAUUAAUUCAACAAUAAAAGGAAUUCCUCAGGAAAACUGAGGGCCUGCAGGCUGCCUGCGUCUUGAGUAAGGAAGGAACAAUCCAGGGAUCUGCCAAUGCCUCACAAGUGUGCAAAUCAGCAAAUAUUCUGAGACUAUACACUGUAUUGAAAAAGAGGAUCGUCAGCUUAAUACCAUUAGAGUACUGUGCUUUUGUUCUGUACAGCACCAAAAUGCAGUUU
rnacentral:lncRNA from 1 species